CAGAGUGGUGUGUGGCCUGUUAUAGGAGACUUUAAUGAUAUUAUCUUGCGAAAGGAUAAGGAUAGUGGGGUGGCGCCUUUUAAAGCUUUGAUGUCAAGUUUUAGGGAGACAGUUGAGAGUUGUGGUUUGAUAUAAAUUCCUUUAUUGGGGUAUCAAUUUAUUUGGUCUAGGGGUACGGAGAAUGGUCUGAUUAGAGAAAAGCUUAACAAGUGCAUGGG
rnacentral:lncRNA from 1 species